UGCUCCUCAGAUUUGUUUCUGCUGAGCCACAAUGGGAACUCCUGAUAUUAUGCUCUUAUAGGACCAGGUAAUCUGGCUGAAGUCCAGCCUCUGCUAUUCUACUGCCCAGAGGCUGGGGACACUUUGUAAUUCUGGAUAGGCCUGACUUUGGGCAGAAAAGUUCUGCAAAGUCAAUGUAGUCCAUCUAGUCACCUGACAUCUGUGUCUCUGAAUCCAGGGAAGGGAAACUCACUACUUCCCAAGGCAGCCUAAUCUGUUCCAUGACCAAAUAAGAAAGUUGCAUUUUCAAAGAAAACAUUCAUGUAUUUGGUCAUGGUGACUGUUUGCUUAGCAAACUAUCCUUCCAUGAAUCAUGGUUAUUUGAACUUUCAGUAGCCCUAGGUCACUUCACCCCAUCAAAGUCUUUGCAAGAGAAAGGGCUUUAGAGGCAUCAGAAUGUUAGAUUAUUUAUUCUUUUAAAAUUUACAAAUGUGGAGGUAAAAAUGUGUUUAUAGUGCAUGGAUCUAUCCUUAUCAGCCUUAUCAUCAUGUGUAAUAAUAAUAGCUCAUACUUCUAGAGAAUUACUGUGUGCCAGGCAUUAUUCUAAGAAUUUUGCAUAUAUUAAACCACGAAAGUGUGAUAUCUCUAAACUUCUCCUAUUUCCUUCCCUAUAGGGGUCCAGAAUUUGAUAACACAUCAACAAAAGAAGAAAUCUAUGUCAUCCAGCCCAAUCUUCAACAUUCUCUAUGAGUCCCAGAAAGGGUGUGUGCCUUACCUUAGGUCACACAGCUACUAAUGGUCGAGUGAAUCUCAAGCACUUAACAAUAUCAAGCUCGCUGUUCAAAGCCAGCAUCAAGAACGAUAUUUUAGGAACCUGAGAUUCUUUUUCAUAAAAACCUGCCUUGAUUUGCUCUACAUGGGGCUACUACUCUGCCACAAGGUGCCCAAAUCACCUUUCCUACCUUGUUAUCUUUUAAACAGAUCCCUGGAGAGAUGCCCUUUCAACCUUCCAUCUCUGCUAAAUGCCUUUUGGAUCCCAGCAGUGGACUCCACUGGAUGGGUGGAUUGACUCAGAGCAGACUGUUACUGAGGCCUAUUAGGGUUGGUGAAAAGCAUUCUAGCCAAAGCCUCCAGAGAGACGGUGCCUGGAGCAUACACACAGAGAGACACUGGGAAAAUACCCUUGUGCUGGAGCGACAGGGUGAAAACAUCUGUGUUCCUGAGCUGCUUAAGAAGAUAAAGUUAA